GAUACCAGGGUCAGAAGGUUAAAAAUCCGGUGCAAGCUUGCUUGCAAGAGAAUUUUUGACCUUGGGACCCGCCAAAAACAUUCAUAAGCAGCCAUUUUUCGCAGAAAAAUGAGCGGAUUAUGAAUGUUUUUGAGGAUUGUGGAAGCACGCAGUGCGGAACAAUCCGG
rnacentral:sRNA from 1 species